GCCACGGGUGAGCUGGAGUCUUACCCAGCUGACUUUGGGCAAGAGGAAAGACCCUGGACAGGUUACCAGCCCACCACAAAGCAUAAACUGUAUCGACAACUGUUCACACUCGUAUUCACACGUCAAUUGAGUGUCCUCAAUGAACCGAUAUGCAGAACAUGCAAACUUCCACAGAUUCCGUCCACAGAUUCAAACCCUGAUCCUCAGAACUGUGAGGCCGAAUGGCCUUACCACUACUUCACCGUGCUGCUCCCAAAAACACCCACAGUACUUGUGGAGUUCAUCUUUUCGAUGCUCAGUUUUCAGCUCAAAGCGUAACCAUUUUUGGUCCAUUUGACUGCAUUUUUAGUUACUUUUAGCACCCAAGAUGAGCACAAAAACUAACACUUCACAUAUGAUGUAGUGAAAUGUUAACUCCAGGGCAAACUUCUACAAACACAGUUAAAUAAUUGCCCCUAACAAUGAUUUGAUUGUAACCAUUGAAGCAGUUUGCUGCUGUUCAAUUAGGGAGAAAUAAAAAGAAUACCAGUGGUGUUGGACAAGUAUUUUCCCAGUGGCAGUGGGAUCGUAUUCUCAUUAUCAACAGCAACUUUUAACUGCCACCUACAAGAAGUCUUGAGAGUACUUUUCCAUUGUUCCUCCUAUUCCAUCCUGUGGAGCUCACCUGUUUUCCCCGCUGCUCCGCCCACACGCCCCUCACACAUCUUAAAUCACUUAAUCUGCAUCCCUUCGCUCCCCUCCCAUCUUCUCAUCAUCAAAACAGCUACGUCGACUCCGAGUGCCGAGGCUGAAUUAAUUGCUUCUUAUUCCACUUAGACACGCGCUCACGUCCCGAGCCCACGCUUUUUGCUCACCAGACAGCAAUCUCUCCAUCUUUUAUUCUUCUCCCCAAGAGACGUGAUUUACUUUUGUCAAGGACAAGGACAUCCACCUAUUAGGAAGUGCCUCUGACGUAGGCACCCGCGUCCCCUCCUCCUUCUUACCCCCCACCCCCACCCACCCACCCUUUUUCCUAUCUGCCUUCUUCUCCCGCUUCUCCUCCUCCUUGCCUUACUCAAAUUGGGGUCGCCAACCUUUUAUUGUGCAGACUGGUGAAUCAUCAGUGAGACUUACGCCACACAGCGAAGCUCGGAGGGACGCUCUCCAUACCGCCCGCCCACCAACCUACCCGCCCAGGAUGCUUCCGUCCUCCUUCCCAUAUCAGCAGGGAACCCACCAAGAUGAUGGACCACACCUGGACACAGCUGGACCAUGGAAGCCUACCUUGUUCUGGGCCGGGGACAUCUGCAGCUAUAAGACACACAAGGAGACCUAUAAAUAAAGACAACGAUGGAUGACUUGCAAAAAGGGUGCUGAAAAGUUUCUCUCCACCCCCGUCAGCGGAAGUCAGCGGGACAGUGCAGCAGACGUCUUUUCCAGAGGAUGGGAAACCUGGAGGCUGGAAUCGCCUCUCAUUUGGAAUGAGGAGGAGGCAGCGGUCAGUAAUGCCGCAGAGCACAUGUGAAAAAAUGUCAAGUAGCUAUUAAUGCCUUUAUACAUUUGACCUGCAUUUUUCAGCUUGUCGCACACUUUGACCAUGAUCACAAUAUGGGCCCUAAUUUGGUAGGCUGGCACCCGUGAGCUCAAUGUGAAAAUGCACGUAACUUCAUUUUCAUGCCAGGGUAAUGGUUUGGUUCAGCUUGUUUGUAAAUUUGGUAGAUGCACUCCACCUCACCGGGCAUUCCUGCCACGCCUACCAGCGCAUCUGCAAAUUGGGUUAUAAUAAGUAGACUG